GUGCCAGCAGCCGCGGUAAUACGUAGGUGGCGAGCGUUGUCCGGAAUUAUUGGGCGUAAAGAGCGUGUAGGUGGGACCAUAAGUCUUAUGUAAAAGUGCGGGGCUCAACCCCGUAGCGCGUAGGAAACUGUGGUUCUUGAGUGCCGGAGAGGAAAGCGGAAUUCCCAGUGUAGCGGUGAAAUGCGUAGAUAUUGGGAGGAACACCAGUGGCGAAGGCGGCUUUCUGGACGGUGUCUGACACUGAGGCGCGAAAGCCAGGGGAGCGAACGGGAUUAGAUACCCGAGUAGUCC
rnacentral:rRNA from 1 species